UGGGGAAUUUUUUGGACAAUGGGUCGAAAGGCGUGAUCCAGCAAUCCGCGUGUGUGAAGAAGGGCUUUCGGGUUGUAAUAGCACUUUUGUCCGGAAAGAAAUCCUUGGCCUCUAAUACGUUCGGGGGAUGACUGGUUACCUGGAAGAAUAAGCACCGGCUAACUACGUGUCCAGCAGCCGCGGUAAUACGUAGGGUGCGAGCGUUAAUCGGAAUUACUGGGCGUAAAGCGUGCGCAGUCGGUUUGCUAAGACCGAUGUGAAAUCCCCGGGCUCAACCUGGGAACUGCAUUGGUGACUGGCAGGCUAGUAGUAUGGCAGAGGGGGGUAGAAUUCCACGUGUAGCAGUGUAAAUGCGUAGAGAUGUGGAGGAAUACCGAUGGCGAAGGCAGCCCCCUGGGCCAAUACUGACGCUCAUGCACUGAAAGCGUGGGGAGCAAACAGGAUUAGAUACCCUGGUAGUCCACGCCCUAAACGAUGUCAACUAGUUGUUGGGGAUUCAUUUCCUUAGUAACGUAGCUAACGCGUGAAGUUGACCGCCUGGGGAGUACGGUCGCAAGAUUAAAACUCAAAGGAAUUGACGG
rnacentral:rRNA from 2 species